AUUGAACGCUGGCGGCAGGCCUAACACAUGCAAGUCGAGCGGUAGAGAGGAGCUUGCUUCUCUUGAGAGCGGCGGACGGGUGAGUAAUGCCUAGGAAUCUGCCUGAUAGUGGGGGAUAACGUCCGGAAACGGACGCUAAUACCGCAUACGUCCUACGGGAGAAAGUGGGGGCUCUUCGGACCUCACGCUAUCAGAUGAGCCUAGGUCGGAUUAGCUAGUUGGUGGGGUAAAGGCUCACCAAGGCGACGAUCCGUAACUGGUCUGAGUGGAUGACCAGUCACACUGGAACUGAGACACGGUCCAGACUCCUACGGGAGGCAGCAGUGGGGAAUAUUGGACAAUGGGCGAAAGCCUGAUCCAGCCAUGCCGCGUGUGUGAAGAAGGUCUUCGGAUUGUAAAGCACGUUAAGUUGGGAGGAAGGGUCGUUACCUAAUACGUGACGAUUUUGACGUUACCGACAGAAUAAGCACCGGCUAACUCUGUGCCAGCAGCCGCAGUAA
rnacentral:rRNA from 1 species